GACGAACGCUGGCGGCGUGCCUAAUACAUGCAAGUAGAACGCACAGUUUAUACCGUAGCUUGCUACACCAUAGACUGUGAGUUGCGAACGGGUGAGUAACGCGUAGGUAACCUGCCUGGUAGCGGGGGAUAACUAUUGGAAACGAUAGCUAAUACCGCAUAAUAUUAAUUAUUGCAUGAUAAUUAAUUGAAAGGUGCACUUGCACCACUACCAGAUGGACCUGCGUUGUAUUAGCUAGUAGGUGAGGUAACGGCUCACCUAGGCGACGAUACAUAGCCGACCUGGGAGGGUGGUCGGCCACAAUGGGACUGAGACACGGCCCAGACUCCUACGGGAGGCAGCAGUAGGGAAUCUUCGGCAAUGGACGAAAGUCUGACCGAGCAACGCCGCGUGAGUGAAGAAGGUUUUCGGAUCGUAAAGCUCUGUUGUAAGGGAAGAACGGGUGUGGGAGUGGAAAGUUCACACUGUGACGGUAUCUUACCAGAAAGGGACGGCUAACUACGUG
rnacentral:rRNA from 1 species